CUUGGAUUCCUCCGCUCGAGUCCGCGGUGGGGAGGUCGAGGGAGUCGCCAUUUUGGAUGCCGAGCGGCUCCUCGGAAGUCGGCUUCUUCCGUUUUCACGUCCGGAUCCCUCCAGGAGGAGCAGGACAACAUGCUGGGCUCUGGGUUCAAAGCUGAGCGCUUACGAGUCAAUUUGAGAUUAGUUAUAAAUCGUCUCAAACUGUUGGAGAAAAAAAAAACGGAACUGGCUCAGAAGGCAAGGAAGGAGAUUGCUGACUACCUGGCCGCCGGAAAGGAUGAGCGAGCACGCAUCCGUGUGGAGCACAUAAUCCGGGAGGACUACCUCGUGGAGGCCAUGGAGAUCCUGGAGCUGUAUUGUGACCUGCUGCUGGCGCGCUUUGGCCUUAUCCAGUCUAUGAAGGAGCUAGAUUCUGGUCUAGCUGAAUCCGUGUCUACACUGAUCUGGGCUGCGCCUCGGCUUCAGUCAGAAGUGGCUGAGUUGAAAAUAGUUGCCGAUCAGCUCUGUGCCAAAUACAGCAAGGAAUAUGGCAAGUUGUGCAGGACCAACCAGAUCGGGACUGUGAAUGAUAGGCUAAUGCACAAACUGAGCGUAGAAGCCCCACCCAAAAUCCUAGUGGAGAGAUACCUGAUUGAAAUUGCCAAGAAUUACAAUGUACCCUACGAACCUGACUCUGUGGUCAUGGCAGAAGCUCCUGUUGGGGUGGAGACAGAUCUUAUUGAUGUUGGAUUUACGGACGAUGUGAAGAAAGGUGGUCCUGGAAGAGGAGGAGGGGGCGGGUUCACAGCCCCCGUUGGGGGACCUGAUGGGAUUGUGCCCAUGCCCAUGCCUAUGCCCAUGCCAUCUCCAAAUGCUCCCUUCGCAUACCCACUGCCAAAGGGACCAUCGGAUUUCAGUGGAUUGCCAGUGGGGACUUACCAGGCCUUUCCUAACAUUCACCCACCUCAGAUACCAGCAACUCCCCCAUCCUAUGAAUCUGUAAGUGCCUGAGCCUUUUGGUAAACGGCAGGAGAGUGAAUCCCAUGAAGAGAGCAAAAUAAUGACAACAGGGAAGGCAAACUUUUGAUAAACUUAGUAUGGGUUUGGUCUUGCUUCUGGAUUCUUUGUUGCUUUCAUCCCGCCCUGGAGAUGGGGGGUGCUGCUGGUGGCAUUUGUGGUGGGCAUGCUGUGUCAGCACUGAAGCCAGGGAGCAGGAAGGAGCUGCACUAAGGAAGUUAUUAAAUGCUCUCAUGGGCAUGGUGGCACAUGCCUACAGUCUCAGCACUUCAAGUCAGCCUGGACUACAUGAGCCCAUCUAAAACAGUAAAGGGAAGUAGUGCCUCUAAGAGAGCACUUCAUGUGGAGACACGCGUCUUACUAAACCAGUCUGAGGAUUACACUGAGCUGCUGUAAUUUGAUACUAUAUUUAUUAGAGCACCAGGCUUUCUGUCUUUUAAGUUCACAACAUUCAUGGCAAAGGAUAGUAAUGGGGUGUUUGACUUAACCAAGUGUCCAUAGUUAGUUACUUUUGGCCUGUAGCAUUUAGUCCACAUUUUAUUCUUGUAGUUAAAACUUAAAAUAGAGCAACCCUGUGGCAGUUUGGGAGCUAAAGUAGAUAGAUCACCCACAAGACUUUGUAGUUGAGCGGUGGGGUGCGCGUCUGCUGUGUGGGAGGCCCUAGGCACAGCUCGCAGCGCUUGCAUACAUUUUCAUAAAUGGCUCAUGGGGUAAGGAUGCCUUCAACUGUGUCUCUGCUUCAGAAUUACUUGUUUUCUGCGAGUCUUGCAUAUACAUACAUGACUCAUACAUGCAUACAUGCCUUCAGAGCUGUUUCCAGCUCAUGGUUUGCUUAGAAAACAAGUUGGUGUGGGAUGUGCUAUGUAAAUUACUCACUAGGAAGCUCUCCCAGAUCCUGAGUUUGCUUAUCAUUCUUCCCGUUGGUUUCCAUCUCUAGUUGAUGUGUUUUCUCCUGGAACUGAGUCUUUCUCAAGCUUUAGCAUUCCAUGUAUCAAAACACUGUUUGUGGAAUGAGGUGGAUCUUCAGUCCUUGAGGCCUUGGUUCUGGUAGAUUUCCUAGUUUGCUUUGCCUGGAAGCUGAAAAGUGUCACAGUGUGGUUGAUGACAUUAAUGGUGAUAAAACUGUUUCUUCUGCACAGAUUGUUGGACCCAAGCCAGAAGCUCCUGCAAAGCCCCCUUCCAGACCUGUGGAUAAUUACAACACCUUUGUACUGCCAGAGUUGCCAUCGGUGCCAGACACACUUCCAACUGCAUCUGCUGGAGCCAGCACCUCAGCAUCAGAAGACAUAGACUUUGAUGAUCUUUCCCGGAGAUUUGAGGAACUGAAAAAGAAAACAUAGGUCUCUUAAACCAGGCAGCAUCCACAUUCUGGAAGUUGAUAGUGAACAGUUCUCCGUGUAACAGUGACUCUCCAUGAAAUUCCGUUUCCUCUGUUAACCGUCACUGAGCACUCUUCCUCGGGGCUCUCUGCUGCUCUACCAAUUGUGUUGCUUUCCACUUCUUCAGUGAUUCUUCAGUGAUCCUGAGAGACUAACAGCUGGAGACUCUAGCUGGAGCAGUUGGCUCCUAUUGGCUGUGUUUGCCUGUCUGUCUUCCUGUCACGUGGAUCCUUGGUUCUUUCCCGGCCAUUCCAUUCCCAGGGAGUGAGAAGUAUUGUGGGUAGAGUUGCCAAAGAUGGCUGGACCAUGGAAGAGAGUACCCUAUGAUGGGUUUCAACCUUGACUCGUAAAUACUUCCCUCUGCAUGGGGGUGAUCGUAGAGAGAAUCAAGGCUACCAUGUGUUUUCUCAUGAGUCAGAAGAUGGCUCAGGAAGCCACUGUCACGGUUCCUGGAGGCUGGGCCCUCUCAUUGACAUGUACACUACUCCUCGCUGCAGGGCACUGUUCCACCUGGAUCCAGUUGCAAAGUUUGGAAAAGUUCUCUUAGUUUUACUGGAUUCUCAGGGAGCCCUCUGUGGCCUUUUCCUUUAUUUUGAGUGCUGUUUCCUUUUUAGGAAAGAACAGCACUGUGGAAAUUUGCUUUUCCCCAUAGCAUGUUAGGAAGGAAGUACAGGUCGUUACCUAAGCUAGCGUGGGCUUCCAGUUGCCUUAAUAGAAGUACUCAAGUCUCUUGGGUAGAGAUCUGGAAGCCUGCAGGAGAGGAGGGGUACUUGUUUUCAUUGGAAAACUUUUAUGAUUAAGGGACUCUUUACAAACUGGCAUCUUAAGUUUUAGUGCCAUGUCGCUGUAGUCUGCUGCUUUCCUGGGUGGAUGAACCUCUUUAUUAUGGUAACUUCUGUGCUGCUUUGCCCCUAGCCAAGGCUCUCCUUCCCCAAGAGGUUAGCUUUGGCAUUGGAAGAUGAGAUUUUUGCUUACCUGUAGUAUUUCUGUACAUACCUGUUUCCAGCAACUUCAGUGUCAAUGUUUUUGAUUUAUUUGUGUCUUAUAGCUCUAGCUGCUAAUAAAGAUCCCAUGUCCUGCUUUCUCUA